UUGCAUUAACAAUGGAUCCAAGAUGGCGAAGACCACAAAUUAUUGACAAGUACAGCACCCCUGGUUAGAUCUAGCAUGCAGCAAUGGCUUUGUCAGUCAGAAAAAGUAUGAUUCAUCCGAUUCUGACCUAGAUUUCAAGCGAAAGAAGUGUCUCAGGCUGCCUGAUGAUGAAUCUGAUUCAGACAUUGGCAUGGAAAAGAAAAAGAAGCGUCUGAUGCAGUCAAAGAAAAAGAAGCGUCCGAUAGUGUCAGAUAGUGAUUGUGAUUCAGACAUUGAUUUGGAUGAAGAAAGAAAGAAAAAAAAGAAACAUCUGAUGCGGUCAGAUGAUGGUACUAAGCAAAAACGGCGAUGGUCACAAAAGGAGUUGGAGGUAUUUAGUAAGAACGUUGCAGUUUACAUUGAAAGAAAGGUCAUGGCUCCAAGGAUUGUUCUUGACAGGGUUGUUGAGCAACUGGCUCAUUCAAGGACUGUUGCUCAAAUAAGAUCAAGAGCAAACAAUAUGAUAAAGGAGAAACAAGUAUUUAUACUGUAGCUAGUCCAGUUUUGUUCAACACUACAAAACAAAACCCAGGUUGUUAGAGUGUUCUGGUCAAAAUACUAAGAAAAAUUUAAUUAAAUAAUUUUAAAGAGAUCAUUUAUUAUUUUAACUGAUGUCCAUAAGAACUUGUUUUUUCGCAAAUUUUCUCUAUUUUCGGCAAAAUUUUAGACAACUUUAGAAAAUUUUGGAAAAUGUGGGCCUUAAAAACGGGAAUUUGGCCAAAAGUAUACCCUUAAGAACUGAAUUUUUUUCAAAAUUAUCAAAAAGUAUAACCUUAGGAGCGAUUGGGAAGAUCUGGGAAGGACAAAAAAGACACCCAUUCGCGCCGAACAUACAUAUACCACCCAAUAUGUUGAGUACUUUGUGACCACAAGGGUAUAAUUAUUAUUGUAUGGUAUCAUAUUUUAUUACCACAUUUUUUUUUGACUAGAAGUUGUUUAGUCUAUAUACGACACCAUUUCAGGUUUUAAGCAGGUUUCACUGACAAAGUGUGUAAAAAAUCACAGCAGAGUAAUUAUAGCCAUGCUAUACAUCAAAAGUACGUUUUCUAGGGUAAAAAUGGAUGUAGAUUGUGAAUUUUUAGUCCAAAACCUUGUUUAUACAGCAUUUAGCCACAAAUCGUGGAUUUAUGGCCAAUUUUGCCCGAAAACGGCACUUUUUCAGUGACAAAAAAAUUUACUUCCUAUCUUUAAAUACCUGUAGGCUCAACAAUAUGCAUACAUAUGGCCAUUUUUAAUGUUUCUGUAUCAGCCCAGUAAACAGUCUGAUGGAUUCUUUUAUUUGUUUUGAAAUUGGUUUCAUACUUUUUGUGCAACAGCCAUUCAAAAAUGAUGCAUCCUGUGACAAUUGACUUUCAAAAUUUAGCAGUUUCGGACAAAAAAAUUGAUUUGAAAAAUCAUAUCUCUUCAGUCCAAGGGGCUACAUUAAUAAUUUACAUACCAAAAUAUGCAGAAUUUAAUAAGCUUUAAUUUGGUGCCUAAUUUAAUGUAUUUCUGGGAGGAGAAUGAUAUAAAAAAAUGAUAAAAAGUUAUUCCCACUCCCUAAUUUUUUAAUUUGUGUAAAAAAUAAAGAAAUUUACAAAACGGGCAAGUAUGCCAAAGUAUAGGACCUAUAGGCUUGAAAAUUUAAUCAGUUAUGCCCAUUAUAAGUCUCUACUUGGGCAUAGGAUAAAUUGUUUAAUAUUUCAACUAUUUCUUUCUAUUUAUAUUUUUUUAAAGAUUUUUGUCAUCCAAAAUUUAGACAAAAAUUUGCCAUUUUGAGGGCUCAUUAAAAAAAAUUACAAGGCCAAUAUGGUUGAAAAGUUAAUGAGUAAUUCCCAGAAAAUAUUACUACAAGGUAAAAUUCACAAAAUUGGCAAAAUGCUCAUAUUUCUUUUGAAUUAUUUUUUUUUACAAAGUUAGUGACAAUCCUCAGAAGGUAUUGUGCAAUCAUAAGCCAGUAUUGCGCAAUCGUUCAACCAAAAUGCUGUUUAGACACAUACUAGCUGUCAAUUUUGCAAAAGAACAUAAUUUAUAAUCUCAAAAAAGCAAUUAUGUUGAUUUUGAAGAGCCCUUACAAGCAAAAAAGACUGAUAUGUGAUAUUUUGGUUUUCUUUGCAUACAGCUUUAAGCACACCCAUAUUACAUAAUACCCGUAUCACAAAAAGGGUUCAAGAUUUUGCAUUUCCAACUUCAGAAAUUAAUUUUACACUAAAUUUCAGUCUAGAAAACAUAUUUAACAUCCUUUGUUUUGAAACUUUAUAUUUUUGGAUUUUUGUCAGUCAAACCUGCUUAAAAUCUGAAAGCGUGUCAUACAGUACAAUGUAGAGAACUCACAAACUUACACUUCAGUUUUAAUAAUCGAUUUCAAAUUUUAGAACACUGUUAGUCUG
rnacentral:lncRNA from 1 species